CUUUAUUUGUUCAGUGAAGGGUUUGCAUUCAGAAAUCAGAACUCAUCUGUGGCUUAGGUUUGUGCAGAUUCUUCUUAUAGGGAGAAAUGUUCCAGAUCAACUGAUGGAACCGAAACAUCUUGAAAGAUCAUUGUGGAACAGCUAAACUAAGGAGCAUUACCAGAAUGGUCUGCAGGGAUUCAAGGUGAAGACUUUCUAUUGAUGACAGUUCAGUGAACAAGAGAUUAAAGGCCAAACGGUUCAGUAUGGAUGUGGGAUCUGAGCCUAAAAAUCUUUUCUGAUAACAAGAGGCAUUAUUUCUUCUGCAUCCUGCAAUUUUAUAUUUUUAUACUCAUACUAUGGGAUGGUAUAAC